GGAGCUACCUGGAGGACAGGAUUUGGGUGUGAAUGGAUGUUGCCCAGGAGGAGUUCCUCAGGACUUCUUUUUCUUGAUAAGUAAUGGUAACUCAGCCACCAGCAGAAUCUAGCUGACACCCAGUUGAUGGUUGACCAGAAAUCCCAUACCUUUCUGCCGGCCGCCAUGGUACCCUGGAGCUGAAAAUGGGUGUUGAGAACACAGUCUCUCAGGAGGCUCUGAGAAGGGCUUGAGUGAAAUGGGUUUGCUGUG
rnacentral:lncRNA from 1 species